rnacentral:lncRNA from 1 species
GGAGUCAGAUUUACUGGUGCUCCUGUUUUGAAUCAACCUUCCUGUGUAGGCUAAGGAUGCAGAUAUGGGAGGGUGGGUGUUCAGAAAGAAGCAAAAGGGUGCUGGGGAGUCUUGCACAACCCACCCCUUCCCAGAGACACUGGUGCACCUUAGGACGGGGUGGCUGAUACAUUCCACAGAUAUGGACACCUCCAGGAGGGGCAGACAGCUGGGUGUAGCACUGAGGCUUGGCUACUAACAUGGAUUCCUGAGUCCUGCAGGGCCACCUCCCUACGCUGGACCUUGGCCCCGUGCCCCAAGGCUCCACCACCAGCAGAUUUGUCCUGUCUUUUGUUCACGGUUCAGAAUAGCUAUGUCACAGGCCAGGAACAUUCCACUUGCCUGCCUAGUGCUCAGAGCAGUGGGGGGUCGGGGUGGCAGGUGGUGGGUGACAAAGGCCUGUGGCAGUCUUGCCCUAGUCUGUGGAAUGAGGGUAGGUGGGAGUCCAGCAGUGGUGGAGAUGGUACCAAAGAAGGGCCAGGGCUGGUAGGUGCUGUGCCUUCAGCUGCUGUGGUAGAUCCGGAGGCGCUGGGAGCGGGCAGGUGCGCAGAGGCUGGCAGCACUGCUGACAGCAGCAGACAUGGCCACAGGUGAGGAAGACCAUCUGAGCUUCACGGUCCAGGCACACAACACACUCUGAGAAAAGGUGAGAGUAGGGCAUGGAGCUGAUGAUAAGG